rnacentral:rRNA from 1 species
GACGAACGCUGGCGGCGUGCUUAACACAUGCAAGUCGAACGGAAAGGCCCUGCUUUUGUGGGGUGCUCGAGUGGCGAACGGGUGAGUAACACGUGAGUAACCUGCCCUUGACUUUGGGAUAACUUCAGGAACCUGGGGCUAAUACCGGAUAGGAGCUCCUGCUGCAUGGUGGGGGUUGGAAAGUUUCGGCGGUUGGGGAUGGACUCGCGGCUUAUCAGCUUGUUGGUGGGGUAGUGGCUUACCAAGGCUUUGACGGGUAGCCGGCCUGAGAGGGUGACCGGCCACAUUGGGACUGAGCAACGGCCCAGACUCCUACGGGAGGCAGCAGUGGGGAAUAUUGCACAAUGGGCGGAAGCCUGAUGCAGCAACGCCGCGUGCGGGAUGACGGCCUUCGGGUUGUAAACCGCUUUCGCCUGUGACGAAGCGUGAGUGACGGUAAUGGGUAAAGAAGCACCGGCUAACUACGUG